UCUCUCAUUUCCACGACGCUGUUUCCAUCUGCAUCAGCCAUUCUCUAAAUUUCGAUUUCCUACAUCUUCACUCUCUCGAGAGAGAUCUCCUUAUCGCAAGCCUUUCAUCGUCACGAGAGCUGUGCUGGAACCUGCAAUACAGAGAUGUCAUCAACAUCGAACACGACGCCAAUUCUAGUAACGUUGAUGACCCUGCCAGUGGAACAACAUGCGAUGCCUUCCCAACUGUGGCAACAGUCAGACAAAGGUGUCCAGGAAUCUAGCAUUUUUGAAGGGUCAAAGAUGAUCCUGCUCUUGAAUUCUAGUAAUGCUUCUUUGUCCACCACGUGACAUGGCUCCGAAAUUGAGGCGAGGAAAAGAUCCUUUGGCUAUGGUUUUGGCUCCUUCUAGAGAACUUGCACGACAUGUUGAGAAGGAAUUCAAUGAGGCUGCACCUAAUGUACUUUAUUUCAUGCAUAGAGAUGAACAUCAAUGGUUUCUAAAUUAUUUCCAUUUAAACGGCCUUGAUGCUAUUGUAAAGGAGUUUCAUUAUUUAAAUUUAAUGAUAUCACGUUAUGCUUUGUAAAUAGCUAUGCUUUAGAAUUCGAGUUUCUGACAAGAACUCAAGACAAAAAACAGAGAAUGGAAAGGAGUGUUUUUAU